GAUGAACGCUGGCGGCGUGCCUAAUACAUGCAAGUCGAGCGAACAGACGAGGAGCUUGCUCCUCUGACGUUAGCGGCGGACGGGUGAGUAACACGUGGAGAACCUACCUAUAAGACUGGGAUAACUUCGGGAAACCGGAGCUAAUACCGGAUAACAUGUUGAACCGCAUGGUUCAACAGUGAAAGACGGUCUUGCUGUCACUUAUAGAUGGAUCCGCGCCGCAUUAGCUAGUUGGUAAGGUAACGGCUUACCAAGGCAACGAUGCGUAGCCGACCUGAGAGGGUGAUCGGCCACACUGGAACUGAGACACGGUCCAGACUCCUACGGGAGGCAGCAGUAGGGAAUCUUGCGCAAUGGGCGAAAGCCUGACGGAGCAACGCCGCGUGAGUGAAGAAGGUCUUCGGAUCGUAAAACUCUGUCAUUAGGGAAGAACAAAUGUGUAAGUAACUAUGCACGUCUUGACGGUACCUAAUCAGAAAGCCACGGCUAACUACGUG
rnacentral:rRNA from 1 species